CAGCUGUACUCGGGGAGCGGCGGCGGCUCCAACCUGCCGCCCGGCGCUGCCAUGACCUGCGAGGCGGAGGACGAUGAGGAGGGAGGAGAUGGAACGAGGGAAGAGAAGAGGAGAGCACAGGCUCCGGACGCGCAGGCUCAGCGGCCAUGGCUCACGGGCCCAGCCUUUCCGCGGCAUGUGGGAUCUUCCCGGACCAGGGCACGAACCCGCGUCCCCUGCAUCUGCAGGCGGACUCUCAACCACUGCGCCACCAGGGAAGCCCUAAAUGCUUUUUCUACUGAAGAAAUAAAUGGUGCAUGGACAGAAUGGCAUCUCCCUUACAGGUUUCUAUAAAAGUAUAGAACUGCUUUUCUCACUAGUCUGAAUUUGGCCAUCCUUUAAAAAUAGAAACGAGUAGGAGGUGAUAACAGCUGACUCUCCCCACCCAAUUUACUUGUUAUAUUAAACACCUCAAAUUACUCACUUUAGAAAUCAAGCUUCACCUGUUUCACAUAGAGGUGGGUGGUUCUUAUUUACCAGAAUUUAGUCAUUUCCAGGACUUCUUUCCAAAGAGAUAGAUGUGUCACUUCAAAAAGAAAUGUCAGACAAUAUUAUUGUUACCUUCCAGCACUUAUUUAGCAGUUAAUGCUGAUUAAAAUGCAUUUCCUUAUUUAUAUCCUUUAGGCAUUUGGAGUGUAAGACAAAGUCCACUAUUAGAUCUGCACACUCACUUAUUUGUUCAUUCAUUCAUUCAUUCAUUCAAGGACUUAUUAAGAAUUUAUGAGUGCUGGCCAUGAUACAGUGAUGAACAAAGAAGCAUGAACCCUGGUCUCAUACCUGUGGGUGCAGCAAACAUUCACUACAUGGUCACAAGUUGUAUAUUAUAUUUCACUGAUUCUAAAAUGCAGAUUUUUCACAUUCUAUCAGGACUCAUAAUUGAUGGUGUGUUAUAGUUCAAUUGGCAGCAUUUUUUUUCUUUCUUAGUGUUUCAUAAAAUAAUUGUGAGUUUUACAAUUAAUGGCAUAAUAGAAUUGAUGAAAUAUGAAUAUAUAUAAAAUCAUAAGUGUAGCUAUAUAUUUGAGUGAUUUCGUGUGUUACAAGAAUGACUUAAUUGAGUCCUGUGUUUAUUUAAAUUGAGAGAAUUCAGUCUUGCUACCUUCUUCUGGUCUAGAGGGCAAAUUUUACUUAGUUUCUUUUUCGUCUUUUUUUUUUCCAACUUAAAAAUUUCUCUAAUCAGUAGAAUUGCAAAAUAACAGAAAUAUGCAAAUAAUGCCCCCAAAGUCUGUUUUUAAAAGCAACCUAGAUUCUGAUUUUUAUCAUUUUCUACCUUUGAACUGUAAUGUUUGUACCUUAUUUCUUGCUUUUUUUUUAAAAUGUAGAAUUGAAUUGAAUCACUUCUGUUUGGAGGCAGCAUUUGACUCAUUGUUAACAUUUCAAAAAGAAACACUGUCUACUUUUCACAUUGACAUUGAUGAAAAACCAAUUGCCAGGGAAAGUCAUUUUCCCUGGGAAUUUCAACUCUGAUCUGUGAGCUUUAUUUUUAUUAUGUUUGUUAAUUUUCUCAAGACAAUAGAUGCUAAGUUUCUGCCAUAUUUAAACAAAAAGAUAACUUUAA